rnacentral:rRNA from 1 species
AACGAACGCUGGCGGCAGGCCUAACACAUGCAAGUCGAGCGCCCCGCAAGGGGAGCGGCGGACGGGUGAGUAACGCGUGGGAACGUACCCUUUGCUACGGAAUAGCCUCGGGAAACUGGGAGUAAUACCGUAUGUGUCCUUCGGGAGAAAGAUUUAUCGGCAAGGGAUCGGCCCGCGUUGGAUUAGGUAGUUGGUGGGGUAAUGGCCUACCAAGCCGACGAUCCAUAGCUGGUUUGAGAGGAUGAUCAGCCACACUGGGACUGAGACACGGCCCAGACUCCUACGGGAAGCAGCAGUGGGGAAUCUUAGACAAUGGGCGCAAGCCUGAUCUAGCCAUGCCGCGUGAGCGAUGAAGGCCUUAGGGUUGUAAAGCUCUUUCAGGGGGGAAGAUAAUGACUGUACCCCCAGAAGAAGCCCCGGCUAACUCCGUG